rnacentral:rRNA from 1 species
GACGAACGCUGGCGGCGUGCUUAACACAUGCAAGUCGAACGACGUGGCGAACGGGUGAGUAACGCGUAAACAACCUGCCCUUCAGAGGGUGACAACAGUUAAAAACGACUGCUAAUACCUCAUACUGUAGCAGGGGGUUGCGUCUGAUUAGCUAGUUGGCGGGGUAACGGCCCACCAAGGCGAUGAUCAGUAGCCGGUCUGGGAGGAUGAACGGCCACAUUGGGACUGGGAAACGGCCCAGACUCCUACGGGAGGCAGCAGUGGGGAAUCUUCCGCAAUGGACGAAAGGCUGACGGAGCAACGCCGCGGGAGUGAUGACGGCCUUCGGGUUGUAAAGCUAUGUUAAUCGGGACGCGGUACCGGAAGAGAAAGCCACGGCUAACUACGUGCCAGCAGCCGCGGUAAUAC